CCUAUUACAGUACAGUAUAACAUGCACAAGAUCCUUGAUCACAUUUAAAUGUAAUUCAAUUGUUUAAUUUAUACUGCAUAUUUAUGCUGCUUUGUGCGAUAGGCCUAUGCCAUACGUGAAUAAAUCGAAUUUACUGCAACAGGUUGCCUAGGUACAUUAUGUGCGAUGGAUAUCAAUGAAGAGAUACGACAACGUCACGUUUAUUCGUAGCAUGCUGAACUUUUCAUUCAAGUUUCAUCUUGGUACAAAAAAGUCAUGCAGCAUCAGGUGCUUUCAAAAAGUGCAAAAACAGUAGGUCUAAAUACCACCUUGUACUGCAGGCUACAGACCAAGCCGCUUGCAUGCUGAACUGGACCAGAAAACACUCUUUCAAGCAGUGAUGGGGUUAGUUAAACAUGCAAGAUCCCAGCACCUUGAGUGUUUGCCCGACAUGCUACUAAGAAACGGGACCAAGAAAAAUAUAUUUUCAGAGAACUCCCACAUCCAAAACGUAUAGCCUACUGUCAGAACUGGAAAGGAAAAAAACAUAACAUCUGCAUGCGUAAAGUUGCUGACGAGUUAGUUUUGUUACUUAAACAAUUAUGAAAUAUCGACUUUUGCAAAUAGAAUGAGGUAACAACGUGUAAACACUUAUAUCACAAGAGUCCAUUACUUUGUUCAAGUUGACAGUCAAAAACAAAACCAUAUCCAACAGCCUAUGCGUAAACAACGAUGCAUUCCUUGUUCUCUUUGAACUUUUGAUGUGAGGAAUUGUCCGCGCUUGAAUGCAAUUGCAGUCUUUAUUGGCAAACAUAUUUCGUAAGGAAAUCAAACGCAUUGCAUAUCAUCGUGCCGCCCCAAAGACAGCGUGGUGAGGCUAUGGGUCCGUGGCGCGCUGCUACACACCAUUCUCCAUCCCGGCGACAGAGACUAGCUGAGUCCUAUCAUCCCCGGCGCUUCUACGUCUUUGGAAGGUCUCCGGUCCUUCACCAUAAAGUUAAUCAUACUCUCCGAUUUGAUCAUGAGGUUGCAGCCGAGGAAAAAGAUACCAAACAUGACGGUGAGCGACAGUACGCACAGGACGGCGAUCUGUACGACGCGACUGAUGAAGAGUUUCCGCUCGUCCGGAGGUAGCGCCAGCGAGCCGCCGUCACUGGUUGCCACGUCGGUCGCGUUGCAGCAGUUCACCAGAGUACCAGCGAGGACUUGGCUCCUGUUGAAUAGUGCGCCCUGGGCUUGGUCGAAGAAGGAGAUGUUCAUAUCUCCGUGGAUGUCAGUCUGACAGCGCUUGGCAGCUAUGGGCGCACGCGGUUCAACAGAAACACACUCACGGCUAAAACUUGGCUCGCAGUUGCAAUUUGCGUCAUGUGACUGGGAAAACAAACCAAAGUAAAAAUCAAAUGAGAAAUGUAUAAUCUUCUUUUAAAUUCGAUAAUAGCAGCACGGCCAAAAGCUGAUAUGUCGGUGCGUGUCAGCUGAGAGAAACUAUCACAGUCCUAACCAGAUGCCCUAUUCAGCAUCAUACUUGCGAGUCAAAGUAAUAAACUGAACACAACUUCUACACAGCUCGAACCUCUCAAGCGGGUCCUCUUGGACAUUUCGAAGGAGGUGUAAAUCUGUACGUAAGACUGCCCUGCAUGCGCACAUGUGCCCGCUUGAGUGCGCUUUCGUGCCAAG
rnacentral:lncRNA from 1 species